GUUCUUUGCUAGGCAGUCGCCCAGUUGCUCAUCAGCGACGGGGAGGAAAGUCCGAACACCGUCCGCCACAAUGCGCAAGCCUUAGGCGAGACAGAGGCAGUGGCUAACAGCCACGCUUGUAUCGAGAAAUCGGUAUGAGACGGAAAGUGUCACAGAGACCAAACCGCCAAUCAUCACCAUCAAUUCCCUAAAAGAAUUGUGCGUGAAAGAGGCAAGGGUGAAAAGAGGUGGUGUAAGAGACCACAGCGCGCGUUGGCAACAGCGCGCGGAGAAAAACACCUGCCCGGUGCAAGUCCGCACUCUAUCCGCCAACAGGUGGAUCAGAGGGAGAUGCUUGAGCCCAAGAGCAAUCGAGGGCCCAGAUAGAUGGCUGCCCUCAGCGCCAUUUUGCAAAAAAUAACGCUGGGACAGAAUUCGGCUUAUCGGCAAAGAACACAA
rnacentral:RNase_P_RNA from 2 species